CAUCUGAUAGAAACAGUUUAGGGAUGUUUUGCCCCCUUUAAUUUAUAUUUUUCCUGACCACAAAAAUAAAUAGUCAUGGUAGAAAAUUUGGAAAACACACAGAAUUAUGAAAAAGACAAAGAAAUUCAACUGUAAUCCCCACUAUCCAGAGAUACCAUCUGAUAAUAUUUUGGUGUAUAUCCUUUCAAUAGAUGACAUUUUCUCUUGACCAAAUAAAGCGUUCUGUGCAUCUCAUAAUUUUUCAGGAUAAAUCUCUCCAUGUGUGAAGACUUUCGUUGCUUCAAGCAGAGUUUGUGGACAUUUCUGCAAACCACCUCCAUCCCCAUCUAGAACUGCUUUGAUGCCUCGACUUUUUCUAACAAGAAGCAUAGCAUAGCCUCUCCCACUUGGAGGCCGGAGGUGCUCCAUUUUCUCAGUUGGUGUCUUCCUCCAGGACUAUACAUUCUUAAAACAACUAAGUACUAGCUCCUUUGCAAACUGGACCAAAAUCUUCAAAGGAAAGAGAAAGGAAGAUUGUCUGCUGAUCAAAGCAGUCACCGGGAAAAGUGGGGUAUCUCCAAUCUCUUCCAUCUCAAGGCCAACUCAUCCCAACUUCUGGUUGUACUUCCUCUGCGGAAAGACAAAGGAAAAAUCUCUGAACCAUCUCUGCUCACCUUAGGGAUGGUGGUCGUCAAAG
rnacentral:lncRNA from 1 species